GAAACUGAGACAAACAGGAUUAAGCGACUUGCCCAAGAUCACACACAUAACUAAUUAUGAAUGUCCUAGGCAUUCAGAGCAGGAGAAAUUAGAGAGAAAUGGAGGAUUCAGAAAAGGUUUCAUGGAGUCAUAAUGAGCUUGAACUAAGUCUGGAAAGCUGGAUCAAGAGCCUCCGGCCUCUGCUUCAGUUUCUCUGGAUUUUGCCAACAUUCUUCAGCAGCCAUCUCACCUAGAAUGGAUCCCUCAUCCUAGGACAACCCCGAAGUCUUCUCCUUUAGAACAUCCCUCUACUGAGAAAAGGCCUCCAUUGUGAGGAGGAGCCAAAGUCAGUCAACCUUCAUUCUUAUCCUGGCUCUGCUUCUGCCUUUCUGGACUUGGAUCCAUGCCCUCUUUCCCCCUCCCUUUCCCUGCUGAAGAGUCAGAUAUCUUCUACCUUCUUCCUCUAUUGAAAGCUAAAUUCCUUGAAGGCAAGGACUACCUUUUUGCUUCUGUUUGAAUCUCUAGUACUUAGAACAGUGUCCAGCACAUCAUAAGCACUGAAUAAAUGCUUGGUGCCUUGUAGCCAAGAAUCAUUUAUUUAAAACUAUAAAUGAGCUCAGCAAUCAUAUAACCCAACCUUCUUUUUUCUUUAAUGAAAAAACAUAACCCCCCCCCCAAAUUAAAUGACCUGACCACAAUCACUGAGAUGCAGCAGAAGCAGCAUUCAAACCUAAGUCCUUCUAUUUUUGAAUCCUAUAUCCUUUCCAUUGUAUUUGAGGUUUUCUAGCAUGGGUAAGAUUUGGACUGAUCAAGGAUAGUCCAAGAAGAGACAAUAACACUCACAGAAAAAUAGAAAGAGGAAUGAGAAUAAUCACUGCACCAGCUGUAUUAUUCUCCUCUUAUAUCUUUUCUCCAAUUCUCAGCUAAAUUCCUUAAAAAAGAAAAGUUCGAGGCUCUACAUGUCUUCCCAUGCUCUCUUCUACACUCUCUGCAAUCUGGCUUCUGAUCUUAUCAUCCAGCUCUUUGGAGAGAUACUUUCCCCAAAGCAAUAAAAUAUCUCUUAAUAGACAAACCUAAUGUCUUUCUGCAGUCGUCAUCCUUCCUCUCUACAGGUCAGGAUUUUGAUGCUAUUGCCUACCUUCUCUUCUAACCUUUCUGGGUUCUCUUCCAGGCUGAUCAUCCCUCAGUAUUCUUUGCUGACCCUUCAUUUCUAUUAUAUCCACCAACUGUGAGUGAACUACAAAUCUUGGACUCUCUUUUCUUCUUUUUCUAUUAAAAAAAAAAGAAGAAAGAAAGAAAAGAUAAAAAGCCAGCAACAAAAAAUUAUUUGAAAAAGAAGGAAAGAAAAUAAUUGAUCUUAUUUAUGACAGGAACCUAAUCACAUCAACAACAGAUGGGUUUGGGAGAGGAUCCACAUCAUUUCUUCAUCAGGCACUUAUUUGAAAACUCUCCUCUCCUCAUUAAUGAAUGAGAUCAUUAUCUUAGGCAUUCCAAUGGGACCAAGAAUGCCCUGGGGCCCAGAAUUUCUUGAAUGACCAUCCUUGGAACUUAUUAGAUGACUUAGAAUCAAUGGAUAGAGCCCUGGGCCUGGAAUCAGGAAGACCUAAUUUCAAAUUUGGCUUCAGACAUUUACUGGACAAGUUACUUAACCCCUGUUUGCCUCAAAUUUAUUCAACUUUUUACUCAAAUGCAAUUUACUCAAUUGCAAAAUUUUGAUCAUCAUAGCACCUGCCUCACCAGGUAGUUAUAAGGAUAAAAUGAUAAAACUUCCUGGCACUAGUACAUGCUAUAUAAAUCCUUAUUUUUUUAGAGGCAACUGGGAUUUAAAUGACUUGCCCAGGCCAAUGCUCUAACUGCUGUACCACCUUGCUACUCUCCUAUAUAAAUCCUUAUUACCUAGUGUUCCCUCUUAUUCCUAUCUGUUCUUUUUGUAUCUUACUUCUCAAUAUUGACCUGACAGUUUAAAUAAAGAAUCAAGAAUCCCUUCAAGAGCUAUUGUCAUAGUUAUGCCCAGAGAUCCUCAGAAUGGAAGUAUUUCCACUCACAGAAUAAUAUUCAGUUCCAUAGUGUCAUUGUGGGAAUCUAGAGUGACAUAAGAAACCUGGGAGGGAUGGAUGAUCUGUAGGAGAUCAGAGAGCCUAAUCUAUUCACAAAUGCUCCUGAAAUAAUGGAAAUAUUUGAUCUCGAAGAGAAAAUCAAUGAACUUUCUGGCCAAUCACAGUUACAGUGUGUGCAAGCAUUACAAAUGAGAAUCUAUAAGGUUCAUUGAGGGUUGAACCAUGGAUAAGAAAGACACGCUCCAAAUGAGCAGUAUAGUUGUAAUCAGCAAAUUUAGACAAAAAAAAAAAAAAAAAAAAGUCAGCAUUUUUUGGUAAUAUUUGUCUAUUUUUUAAUAGCUGUGGUUUAGGGGAGCAGACUAUCUCCUUACUGAUCAGUUGAUUUCCAAGUUCCAGUUGCCCUAAACAACCACCGUGAUCUCAGACAGUUCUGCCUUUUCUAAUAGAUUACUAUUUGGGAGACUGGAGGUUUGGUGACUCAAAUAUGUCUGAAUGCUAGAUUUUUUUUGUCUCUACUUCUAAUUUUCUUUAUUCCUUCUAAUCUAACCUUUCACAUUAUCCAAGUCAUGCUUCAAACCUCUUGGCAUAUAGUUAUAGCAGCUAGAAUUGAUCUUGUCAUCUUAUUGACUUGUUGCACUUGAUGUAUUAAAAUAAAAUGCAGAGAACUCCAAAUUUGGUGACAACUAUAAUAAUAUUUUGUGUUAUAUUUACAGUUCUUCCACUUCCUUUCUUUUUAUACUCUGCUGAACUUAUUAUAUAUAGCUUCUGAACUCUUUAUUCAAAUGAAACUGCUCUCUCCAAAAUUACAAAUGAUCUUAUAACUGACAAAUGUAAUGACUUUUCUUAAUUUUCAUCUUUUUUUUACCUCUCUGUAACCUUUGCCACUGUCAAUCUAUCUCUUUUCCCUAAUACUGUCUGCACUCUGGGUUUUCAUGACACUCCUCUCUACUACCCAUCUUCUCCUUUGCUGGAUCUUCAUCCAGGUUAUAUAUACUAACAAAGCAUGUGCCCCAAGGCUCGGCUCUGGGACCUCUUCUUUUCUCCAUUUAUACUAUUUUAUUUGGUGAUCUCAUCAGCUCUCAUGAAUUCAUCUAUUACUUCUAUGAAAAUGAUUUUCAGAUUUUUUUUUUUUGUCUUGACCUAACCUCUGGGCUGACUUCCAGUUUAGGAUCUUCAGUGGUCUAUUGAGAAUCUCAGAUUGGGUGGUUUAGUGGACAUUUUAAGCUCAACAUUCCAAAAUUGAAUUCAUUAUCUUUCCUCCAAGAGAGGAGAGAGUCCUCCUCUCUUUCUUCCUAUUGUUACUCUUUCUUCUAGUACAAUCUCCAUUUAACUGUCAAAUUGAUCCAAGUUUUCUACAAUCCAGUGACAAUGGCCUACUUGCAACAAAAGAGUUUAAAUCUCAACCCUGAGUGUUUUCAUCGAUUUCCCCAAUGCUUGGAACUGUCUAGUUCUUCUCUGUUUCCUGGCUUCCUUCAAAUCUCAGCUAAAGUUCCAGCCUUUCCCAGGCCUGGAGAGACUUACACAAACUGAUGCUGAGUGAAAUGAGUAGGACCAGGAGAUCAUUAUAUACUUCAACAACAAUACUAUAUGAUGACCAGUUCUGAUGGACCUGGGCCAUCCUCAGCAAUGAGAUCAACCAAAUCAUUUCCAAUGGAGCAGUAAUGAACUGAACCAGCUACGCCUAGAGAAAGAACUCUGUGUGAUGACUAAAAACCAUUACAUUGAAUUCCCAAUCCCUAUAUUUAUGCCCACCUGCAUUUUUGAUUUCCUUCACAAGCUAAUUGUACAAUAUUUCAGAGUCUGAUUCUUUUUGUACAGCAAAAUAACAGUUUGGUCAUGUAUACUUAUUGUGUAUCUAAUUUAUAUUUUAAUAUAUUUAACAUCUACUGGUCAUCCUGCCAUCUGGGGGAGGGGGUGGGGGAUAAGAGGUGAAAAAUUGGAACAAGAGGUUUAGCAAUUGUUAAUGCUGUAAAGUUACUCAUACAUAUAACCUGUAAAUAAAAGGCUAUUAAAUAAAAAUAAAUAAAUAA
ensembl:lncRNA